rnacentral:rRNA from 1 species
CUACGGGGGGCUCCAGUGGGGAAUAUUGGACAAUGGGGGAAACCCUGAUCCAGCAAUGCCGCGUGUGUGAAGAAGGCCUGCGGGUUGUAAAGCACUUUCGGUUGGGAGGACUGCUUCUAGCACUAAUAUUGUUGGAAGUUGACGUUUCCUUCAGAAGAAGCACCGGCUAACUCCGUGCCAGCAGCCGCGGUAAUACUGAGGGUGCAAGCGUUAAUCGGAAUUACUGGGCGUAAAGCGCGCGUAGGUGGUUAGAUCAGUUGGGUGUGAAAGCCCCGGGCUUAACCUGGGAACUGCAUCCGAUACUGUCUAGCUUGAGUACAGGAGAGGAGAGUGGAAUUCCACAUGUAGCGGUGAAAUGCGUAGAUAUGUGGAGGAACACCAAUGGCGAAGGCAGCUCUCUGGCCUGAUACUGACGCUGAGGUGCGAAAGCGUGGGGAGCAAACAGGAUUAGAUACCCCAGUAGUC